GUUAUUUUGGUGUAAUUAUAGCACGGUUGACUUCCAAUUAAAAGGUUUAUUAAAUAACA
rnacentral:tRNA from 1 species